ensembl:lncRNA
CACACUCACUGGACACAGACCGUUACACAACACACUCACUGGACACAGACCGUUACACAACACACUCACUGGACGCCAUUCGGUGGGAUGGAAGUUUAGGAGUUAUGUCGCUGGUGACGGUGUUGUCUCUUCACCCUGCUCCACCUAGGGAACACAACACAACGAUGAUCUCACUUUAGUACACAACAACACAACGAUGAUCUCACUUUAGCACACAACAGCACAACACAACGAUGAUCUCACUUUAGUACACAACAACACAACGAUGAUCUCACUUUAGUACACAACAACACAACGAUGAUCUCACUUAGUACACAACAACACAACGAUGAUCUCACUUUAGUACACAACACAACGAUGAUCUCACUUUAGUACACAAGACAACAAUGAUCUCACUUUAGUACACAACACAACGAUGAUCUCACUUUAGUACACAACACAACGAUGAUCUCACUUUAUACACAACAACACAACACAACGAUGAUCUCACUUUAGUACACAACAACACAACAAUGAUCUCACUUUAGUACACAACAACACAACAAUGAUCUCACUUUAGUACACAACACAACGAUGAUCUCACUUUAGUACACAACAACACAACACAAUGAUGAUCUCACUUUAGUACACAAAACAACGCAACACAGUGAAACAACCUGACUUUCAGUACACAACACAAUAAUCUCACCUUUAGUACACAAUAAACACGAUCUGACUUCAAUAAAAAACCUAAUUAAAAGUUAGACCCAGGGUCAAAGGUUUGUUGUUAACAUUUACAAUACGGUUCAUAAUCACAAUGCAACACAACAUUGUAAAAUAAUCUUGAUAAACUAUGACCAAAUGCAUUUCUUUUAUCGUCGUUAAAUGAGACGCCGUGUGCAGUGACCACAGCCGCCAUUCGGCGGUUCUUUAGACGUCAGGAGACAAGAUGGAGGCCGGUGUUGUGGCAGUUUGUACAGUUGGUGUUGUGGUGCUCCUGGUCUCUGGCGGGAAGCCAGGCUGCAGCUACCGGGGCUUUCCAGAGCCAACACUCAGCACACCAUGUGACCCAGGCAGCCAAUCAGGUCGCCCAGGCAGCCUGUCUCCAAACCAGUCAGAUCAGUCCUUGGGCCGGUUGCACCAACUGGUCUUAACUAAGCCUGGUCGUAACUGCUAAGUAGGUCUUAGUUAGGACCUGGCGUUAGAAUGGGACUAACGCCGGUUGCACCACCGGGACUUAAGCCUGGUCUUAAGUACGCCCGGUCUUAGCCAUGGAACACUCACAUGGCCGCGCAUGGGAGGGGUAAUCUCCUCUGAUCCAUUAAGGCUCAUGUUACACUGGGACGGCUUU